rnacentral:rRNA from 1 species
UACGUAGGGUGCGAGCGUUAAUCGGAAUUACUGGGCGUAAAGCGUGCGCAGGCGGUUCGUGAAGUCCGAUGUGAAAGCCCUGGGCUUAACCUAGGAAUGGCAUUGGAAACUGGCGGGCUAGAGUGCGGCAGAGGGGGGUGGAAUUCCUGGUGUAGCAGUGAAAUGCGUAGAGAUCAGGAGGAACACCGAUGGCGAAGGCAGCCCCCUGGGUUGACACUGACGCUCAGGCACGAAAGCGUGGGGAGCAAACAGG